rnacentral:rRNA from 1 species
UUAAGCGACUAAGCGUACACGGUGGAUGCCCUGGCAGUCAGAGGCGAUGAAGGACGUGCUAAUCUGCGAUAAGCGUCGGUAAGGUGAUAUGAACCGUUAUAACCGGCGAUUUCCGAAUGGGGAAACCCAGUGUGUUUCGACACACUAUCAUUAACUGAAUCCAUAGGUUAAUGAGGCGAACCGGGGGAACUGAAACAUCUAAGUACCCCGAGGAAAAGAAAUCAACCGAGAUUCCCCCAGUAGCGGCGAGCGAACGGGGAGCAGCCCAGAGCCUGAAUCAGUGUGUGUGUUAGUGGAAGCGUCUGGAAAGGCGCGCGAUACAGGGUGACAGCCCCGUACACAAAAAUGCACAUAUUGUGAGCUCGAUGAGUAGGGCGGGACACGUGGUAUCCUGUCUGAAUAUGGGGGGACCAUCCUCCAAGGCUAAAUACUCCUGACUGACCGAUAGUGAACCAGUACCGUGAGGGAAAGGCGAAAAGAACCCCGGCGAGGGGAGUGAAAAAGAACCUGAAACCGUGUACGUACAAGCAGUGGGAGCCUCUUUUAUGGGGUGACUGCGUACCUUUUGUAUAAUGGGUCAGCGACUUAUAUUCUGUAGCAAGGUUAACCGAAUAGGGGAGCCGAAGGGAAACCGAGUCUUAACUGGGCGUUAAGUUGCAGGGUAUAGACCCGAAACCCGGUGAUCUAGCCAUGGGCAGGUUGAAGGUUGGGUAACACUAACUGGAGGACCGAACCGACUAAUGUUGAAAAAUUAGCGGAUGACUUGUGGCUGGGGGUGAAAGGCCAAUCAAACCGGGAGAUAGCUGGUUCUCCCCGAAAGCUAUUUAGGUAGCGCCUCGUGAAUUCAUCUCCGGGGUAGAGCACUGUUUCGGCAAGGGGGUCAUCCCGACUUACCAACCCGAUGCAAACUGCGAAUACCGGAGAAUGUUAUCACGGGAGACACACGGCGGGUGCUAACGUCCGUCGUGAAGAGGGAAACAACCCAGACCGCCAGCUAAGGUCCCAAAGUCAUGGUUAAGUGGGAAACGAUGUGGGAAGGCCCAGACAGCCAGGAUGUUGGCUUAGAAGCAGCCAUCAUUUAAAGAAAGCGUAAUAGCUCACUGGUCGAGUCGGCCUGCGCGGAAGAUGUAACGGGGCUAAACCAUGCACCGAAGCUGCGGCAGCGACACUAUGUGUUGUUGGGUAGGGGAGCGUUCUGUAAGCCUGUGAAGGUGUACUGUGAGGUAUGCUGGAGGUAUCAGAAGUGCGAAUGCUGACAUAAGUAACGAUAAAGCGGGUGAAAAGCCCGCUCGCCGGAAGACCAAGGGUUCCUGUCCAACGUUAAUCGGGGCAGGGUGAGUCGACCCCUAAGGCGAGGCCGAAAGGCGUAGUCGAUGGGAAACAGGUUAAUAUUCCUGUACUUGGUGUUACUGCGAAGGGGGGACGGAGAAGGCUAUGUUGGCCGGGCGACGGUUGUCCCGGUUUAAGCGUGUAGGCUGGUUUUCCAGGCAAAUCCGGAAAAUCAAGGCUGAGGCGUGAUGACGAGGCACUACGGUGCUGAAGCAACAAAUGCCCUGCUUCCAGGAAAAGCCUCUAAGCAUCAGGUAACAUCAAAUCGUACCCCAAACCGACACAGGUGGUCAGGUAGAGAAUACCAAGGCGCUUGAGAGAACUCGGGUGAAGGAACUAGGCAAAAUGGUGCCGUAACUUCGGGAGAAGGCACGCUGAUAUGUAGGUGAAGUCCCUCGCGGAUGGAGCUGAAAUCAGUCGAAGAUACCAGCUGGCUGCAACUGUUUAUUAAAAACACAGCACUGUGCAAACACGAAAGUGGACGUAUACGGUGUGACGCCUGCCCGGUGCCGGAAGGUUAAUUGAUGGGGUUAGCGCAAGCGAAGCUCUUGAUCGAAGCCCCGGUAAACGGCGGCCGUAACUAUAACGGUCCUAAGGUAGCGAAAUUCCUUGUCGGGUAAGUUCCGACCUGCACGAAUGGCGUAAUGAUGGCCAGGCUGUCUCCACCCGAGACUCAGUGAAAUUGAACUCGCUGUGAAGAUGCAGUGUACCCGCGGCAAGACGGAAAGACCCCGUGAACCUUUACUAUAGCUUGACACUGAACAUUGAGCCUUGAUGUGUAGGAUAGGUGGGAGGCUUAGAAGUGUGGACGCCAGUCUGCAUGGAGCCGACCUUGAAAUACCACCCUUUAAUGUUUGAUGUUCUAACGUGGACCCGUGAUCCGGGUUGCGGACAGUGUCUGGUGGGUAGUUUGACUGGGGCGGUCUCCUCCUAAAGAGUAACGGAGGAGCACGAAGGUUGGCUAAUCCUGGUCGGACAUCAGGAGGUUAGUGCAAUGGCAUAAGCCAGCUUGACUGCGAGCGUGACGGCGCGAGCAGGUGCGAAAGCAGGUCAUAGUGAUCCGGUGGUUCUGAAUGGAAGGGCCAUCGCUCAACGGAUAAAAGGUACUCCGGGGAUAACAGGCUGAUACCGCCCAAGAGUUCAUAUCGACGGCGGUGUUUGGCACCUCGAUGUCGGCUCAUCACAUCCUGGGGCUGAAGUAGGUCCCAAGGGUAUGGCUGUUCGCCAUUUAAAGUGGUACGCGAGCUGGGUUUAGAACGUCGUGAGACAGUUCGGUCCCUAUCUGCCGUGGGCGCUGGAGAAUUGAGGGGGACUGCUCCUAGUACGAGAGGACCGGAGUGGACGCAUCACUGGUGUUCGGGUUGUCAUGCCAAUGGCACUGCCCGGUAGCUAAAUGCGGAAGAGAUAAGUGCUGAAAGCAUCUAAGCACGAAACUUGCCCCGAGAUGAGUUCUCCCUGACCCUUUAAGGGUCCUGAAGGAACGUUGAAGACGACGACGUUGAUAGGCCGGGUGUGUAAGCGCAGCGAUGCGUUGAGCUAACCGGUACUAAUGAACCGUGAGGCUUAACCUU